AUUGAACGCUGGCGGCAUGCCUUACACAUGCAAGUCGAACGGUAACAGGUCUUCGGAUGCUGACGAGUGGCGAACGGGUGAGUAAUACAUCGGAACGUGCCCGAUCGUGGGGGAUAACUACUCGAAAGAGUAGCUAAUACCGCAUACGAUCUACGGAUGAAAGCGGGGGAUCUUCGGACCUCGUGCGGACGGAGCGGCCGAUGGCAGAUUAGGUAGUUGGUGGGAUAAAAGCUUACCAAGCCGACGAUCUGUAGCUGGUCUGAGAGGACGACCAGCCACACUGGGACUGAGACACGGCCCAGACUCCUACGGGAGGCAGCAGUGGGGAAUUUUGGACAAUGGGCGAAAGCCUGAUCCAGCAAUGCCGCGUGCAGGAUGAAGGCCUUCGGGUUGUAAACUGCUUUUGUACGGAACGAAAAGACUCCUUCUAAUACAGGGGGUCCAUGACGGUACCGUAAGAAUAAGCACCGGCUAACUACGUGCCAGCCGCCGCCGUAAAAC
rnacentral:rRNA from 1 species